AUUCACAAAAAAAUAUUGAAAAAGAUGAUAUCUCAGAUAAAGUUACCAUAAAGGUUAAGGUUGAAGAUGAGGGAUAUCAUGAUAUCGUAAUAGAUUGGUCCGAUGAAAGUUUUCCAUACAAAGAUCAACAAGUUAUUAACCAGCUUUCGUCGAUAAUCGGGAUUCCAGUUCAAUUAAUCAGGAUGACUAUCUUAAUUUAUGCGCCUAAUAAUUGGUUUGAUUUGCGAAAUAUUGAACAUAAAUCAUCUGAUCCUUGGAUAUACGGACCUGGUGAGGAUGAGCCUAAUGCAAUGUCGUGUUUCUUCACCAGAAAGAACUGUUUGGGAAGAUUGAAUGAUGGUGAUCGUUUUGUCUUGCGUACUGAUUUGUGGCCG